CUUAAUUGCACAUUCCCUUAACAAUAUGAGCUCUGGGGGAAAGGGGUAAAAGUGGGGAGAUGAGAGCCCCCACAAGCGGCAGAGGAGACGCUGACAGGCGAGGAAAUGGGGAAGGUCUUUGGCAAAUUCCUACAUGUGAGAGUCUUUAGCAAAAACACUGAUGUGCUGCUAAUUGUUCUAAUUGGUUCCAGCAGCGAACCCAGCCCAGAUGGGUGAGGACAGGCAUUUACUAACUGGGCUCCUACUGGCCCCAGAAGUCAGUGUGGAAUUGCUGACAGAAUAUCACACACAGCGAAGAAAGUGCUGAUCCUGCAGCCCCAGCUUUGGGAUCCGGGAGAGGAGCACAGGCUUUUUUAGCUCAGCCUCUGGAAACCUGGGCAACGGAGGAAGAGGGUGUAGGUGUUGGAAAGAACUUGAUGUCAACUUUGGUCAUUGCUGUCCUGUGUAACUGGGUCAAGUCACCGAAUGUCUAAAGGUGCUGCCCUCAGUAAUUUUGUGUGAUGGUCUCUUCUUCUUCCUCUGGGUGCUGCAUGGGCUGAAUCCUUCCAGGACAGAAAGAUGGUCAGAGAACAGUCAAGGCUGUGCCCUGCUUGAAACACCAGGAAUUAAAGGAAACUUAAAAAAUAUUAUAUCAAAAUGAACUUGGGGAAGAAAAUCUGGACUGGCUGUAGUGGGAAAAAACCCAAAACUUGCCCACAAGGUGAAGAAUAGUUCAAAAGUUUCUUUCUCUAGAAUUUUCUUGCUGCUUUUCCACAGUUUCUGUACAUGCUUUUACCUACAUUUUUUGGGAAAAAAAUUAUUUUUUCUGGACCUUACUGCACAGUUGCCUACAAAUACAUAAGUGACUCAAAGA